rnacentral:lncRNA from 1 species
ACGUUGAAGCUUCUAUGUCCAAGUCCUAAUCAAGUUUCAGCUUGAAAUUACCGCUUAAUUUACAACCAUGAGAAGAGAAUUUCAAUACUGAAUUAUUGACUACAAAUGAAAAAUAAUUAAAAAAAUGCAACACUGAGGGUUCAUCGAUAGAAACAUAUUACAAGCCUGAUCAGCGGGUGUUAACAAGCCAUGUCAGGCAAUUAAAAUAAAAAAACCAACCGACAUACAAUGCAUAUAGCCUAAGACUAGACUGAAACAUCCUGAAUAGGUUCUGCUAAUUUCCCUGCAACUGUCCUUUGCACCGCACACCAAAAUCACAUCCCCUGUACUCCUUCCGGAUCUUUAACUUUCCCCCACGGCAGAUGAAGCUACAAAGCCAAUGACCAGCCUUAUAAACAGGUCGCACAUCACUCUCCUGCCCGUUACUGAAGAACUGCCUCCUCUCCAUAUAUGCUGCACUGCUGCCCUUUGUGAUCUAGGUUGCCCCAACUCUGAAAACUACCCUACUUUCGCUGCUGCAUUUGUCGUAAAUGAUAGAUAGAAGAUAAACUUUUUAACUUAUAACAUAUGAUGAAGUCCUGUAAAGUAAAUACUUAGUGUGGCUUUGGAGAAUUUGACCGAGAGAGUAAGAGAGGAUAGAUCAUUAUAUGCUAAAAUUCCUCUUAAAAAAAACAGAAUUAUAAUGUGAGAACACAUACGUUUGCUGCUAAGAUCAAGUAAAACCCAAAAUGAAAUUUUCAUUGAAUUCAAACAAGGAGUCCACUACGUACGUACAGGUUCCAUGUUUCUAAGAAUGGACCAUUUAAUCAUACGGCACCCAUGUUUGAACCAUUCGUGUUAAAAGACUGACACGAGAGAACAAAUCAUUAUAACAAUAAAUUCCUGUUAACAAAACAAGAUGAGAAAAAAUUGCAAAUUAGGAACGUGAAAGGAUAUGUGAUAUUGAUUAAUACAAGAGCAAACCAAGAUUGAAACACAUAUUAAUUUUUGAAGAAAACUUACUUUCAUUGUUCA